CGGGAAUAUUGCGCAAUGGAGGAAACUCUGACGCAGUGACGCCGCGUAUAGGAAGAAGGUUUUCGGAUUGUAAACUAUUGUCGUUAGGGAAGAUACAAGACAGUACCUAAGGAGGAAGCUCCGGCUAACUACGUGCCAGCAGCCGCGGUAAUACGUAGGGAGCAAGCGUUAUCCGGAUUUAUUGGGUGUAAAGGGUGCGUAGACGGGACAACAAGUUAGUUGUGAAAUCCCUCGGCUUAACUGAGGAACUGCAACUAAAACUAUUGUUCUUGAGUGUUGGAGAGGAAAGUGGAAUUCCUAGUGUAGCGGUGAAAUGCGUAGAUAUUAGGAGGAACACCGGUGGCGAAGGCGACUUUCUGGACAAUAACUGACGUUGAGGCACGAAAGUGUGGGGAGCAAACAGGAUUAGAUACCCUGGUAGUCCACACCGUAAACGAUGGAUACUAGGUGUAGGAAAUGAUUUCAUUUUCUGUGCCGUCGCAAACGCAAUAAGUAUCCCACCUGGGGAGUACGGCCGCAAGGUUGAAACUCAAAGGAAUUGACGGGGGCCCGCACAAGCAGUGGAGUAUGUGGUUUAAUUCGAAGCAACGCGAAGAACCUUACCAGGGCUUGACAUAUAGAUGAAUAACUAAGAGAUUAGUUAGUCCUUCGGGACAUCUAUACAGGUGGUGCAUGGUUGUCGUCAGCUCGUGUCGUGAGAUGUUAGGUUAAGUCCUGCAACGAGCGCAACCCCUGUGAUUAGUUGCCAACAGGUUAAGCUGGGAACUCUAAUCAGACUGCCGGUGAUAAAUCGGAGGAAGGUGGGGAUGACGUCAAAUCAUCAUGCCCUUUAUGUCCUGGGCUACACACGUACUACAAUGGCUGUAACAGAGAGAAGCAACACCGCGAGGUAGAGCGAAACUCCAAAAGCAGUCUCAGUUCGGAUUGAAGGCUGAAAUUCGCCUUCAUGAAGCCGGAAUUGCUAGUAAUGGCAGGUCAGCAUACUGCCGUGAAUACGUUCCCG
rnacentral:rRNA from 1 species